CGAAUGCUGACAUAAGUAACGAUAAAGCGGGUGAAAAGCCCGCUCGCCGGAAGACCAAGGGUUCCUGUCCAACGUUAAUCGGGGCAGGGUGAGUCGACCCCUAAGGCGAGGCCGAAAGGCGUAGUCGAUGGGAAACGGGUUAAUAUUCCCGUACUUGGUGUUACUGCGAAGGGGGGACGGAGAAGGCUAUGUUGGCCGGGCGACGGUUGUCCCGGUUUAAGCGUGUAGGUGUGUGUUCCAGGUAAAUCCGGUUCACUUUAACACUGAGGCGUGAUGACGAGGCACUACGGUGCUGAAGCAACAAAUGCCCUGCUUCCAGGAAAAGCCUCUAAGCAUCAGGUAACAUCAAAUCGUACCCCAAACCGACACAGGUGGUCAGGUAGAGAAUACCAAGGCGCUUGAGAGAACUCGGGUGAAGGAACUAGGCAAAAUGGUGCCGUAACUUCGGGAGAAGGCACGCUGACACGUAGGUGAAGUGAUUUACUCAUGGAGCUGAAGUCAGUCGAAGAUACCAGCUGGCUGCAACUGUUUAUUAAAAACACAGCACUGUGCAAACACGAAAGUGGACGUAUACGGUGUGACGCCUGCCCGGUGCCGGAAGGUUAAUUGAUGGGGUCAGCGCAAGCGAAGCUCCUGAUCGAAGCCCCGGUAAACGGCGGCCGUAACUAUAACGGUCCUAAGGUAGCGAAAUUCCUUGUCGGGUAAGUUCCGACCUGCACGAAUGGCGUAAUGAUGGCCAGGCUGUCUCCACCCGAGACUCAGUGAAAUUGAACUCGCUGUGAAGAUGCAGUGUACCCGCGGCAAGACGGAAAGACCCCGUGAACCUUUACUAUAGCUUGACACUGAACAUUGAGCCUUGAUGUGUAGGAUAGGUGGGAGGCUUUGAAGUGUGGACGCCAGUCUGCAUGGAGCCGACCUUGAAAUACCACCCUUUAAUGUUUGAUGUUCUAACGUGGACCCGUUACCCGGGUUGCGGACAGUGUCUGGUGGGUAGUUUGACUGGGGCGGUCUCCUCCUAAAGAGUAACGGAGGAGCACGAAGGUUGGCUAAUCCUGGUCGGACAUCAGGAGGUUAGUGCAAUGGCAUAAGCCAGCUUGACUGCGAGCGUGACGGCGCGAGCAGGUGCGAAAGCAGGUCAUAGUGAUCCGGUGGUUCUGAAUGGAAGGGCCAUCGCUCAACGGAUAAAAGGUACUCCGGGGAUAACAGGCUGAUACCGCCCAAGAGUUCAUAUCGACGGCGGUGUUUGGCACCUCGAUGUCGGCUCAUCACAUCCUGGGGCUGAAGUAGGUCCCAAGGGUAUGGCUGUUCGCCAUUUAAAGUGGUACGCGAGCUGGGUUUAGAACGUCGUGAGACAGUUCGGUCCCUAUCUGCCGUGGGCGCUGGAGAACUGAGGGGGGCUGCUCCUAGUACGAGAGGACCGGAGUGGACGCAUCACUGGUGUUCGGGUUGUCAUGCCAAUGGCACUGCCCGGUAGCUAAAUGCGGAAGAGAUAAGUGCUGAAAGCAUCUAAGCACGAAACUUGCCCCGAGAUGAGUUCUCCCUGAGACUUAAAGUCUCCUGAAGGAACGUUGAAGACGACGACGUUGAUAG
rnacentral:rRNA from 1 species